rnacentral:rRNA from 1 species
AUUGAACGCUGGCGGCAUGCCUUACACAUGCAAGUCGAACGGCAGCGGGCCUUCGGGUGCCGGCGAGUGGCGAACGGGUGAGUAAUGCAUCGGAACGUGCCAUUGAGUGGGGGAUAACGUAGCGAAAGUUGCGCUAAUACCGCAUAUUCUGUGAGCAGGAAAGCAGGGGACCGCAAGGCCUUGCGCUCUUUGAGCGGCCGAUGUCAGAUUAGCUAGUUGGUGAGGUAACGGCUUACCAAGGCGACGAUCUGUAGCGGGUCUGAGAGGAUGAUCCGCCACACUGGAACUGAGACACGGUCCAGACUCCUACGGGAGGCAGCAGUGGGGAAUUUUGGACAAUGGGCGCAAGCCUGAUCCAGCCAUGCCGCGUGAGUGAAGAAGGCCUCGGGUUGUAAAGCUCUUUCGGCCGGGAAGAAAUCGCAUGGGUUAAUACCCUGUGUGGAGUGACGGUACCGGAAUAAGAAGCACCGGCUAAC